rnacentral:rRNA from 1 species
UACGUAGGUGACAAGCGUUGUCCGGAUUUACUGGGCGUAAAGAGCGCGCAGGCGGUCGAUCAAGUCGAGUGUGAAAGCCCCCGGCUCAACCGGGGAGGGUCGUCGGAGACUGGCGAGCUUGAGGGCGGUAGGGGCUGGUGGAAUUCCCGGUGUAGUGGUGAAAUGCGUAGAUAUCGGGAGGAACAUCAGUGGCGAAGGCGGCCCUCUGGUCCAGUACUGACACUCAAGUGCGAAAGCGUGGGGAGCAAACAGG